rnacentral:rRNA from 1 species
UGAACGCUGGCGGCAGGCCUAACACAUGCAAGUCGAACGGUAGCACAGAGAGCUUGCUCUCGGGUGACGAGUGGCGGACGGGUGAGUAAUGUCUGGGAAACUGCCCGAUGGAGGGGGAUAACUACUGGAAACGGUAGCUAAUACCGCAUAACGUCUUCGGACCAAAGUGGGGGACCUUCGGGCCUCACACCAUCGGAUGUGCCCAGAUGGGAUUAGCUAGUAGGUGGGGUAAUGGCUCACCUAGGCGACGAUCCCUAGCUGGUCUGAGAGGAUGACCAGCCACACUGGAACUGAGACACGGUCCAGACUCCUACGGGAGGCAGCAGUGGGGAAUAUUGCACAAUGGGCGCAAGCCUGAUGCAGCCAUGCCGCGUGUAUGAAGAAGGCCUUCGGGUUGUAAAGUACUUUCAGCGGGGAGGAAGGCGAUGGAGUUAAUAGCUUCAUCGAUUGACGUUACCCGCAGAAGAAGCACCGGCUAACUCCGUGCCAGCAGCCGCGGUAAUACGGAGGGUGCAAGCGUUAAUCGGAAUUACUGGGCGUAAAGCGCACGCAGGCGGUCUGUCAAGUCGGAUGUGAAAUCCCCGGGCUUAACCUGGGAACUGCAUUCGAAACUGGCAGGCUAGAGUCUUGUAGAGGGGGGUAGAAUUCCAGGUGUAGCGGUGAAAUGCGUAGAGAUCUGGAGGAAUACCGGUGGCGAAGGCGGCCCCCUGGACAAAGACUGACGCUCAGGUGCGAAAGC